rnacentral:rRNA from 1 species
UACGUAGGGUGCGAGCGUUGUCCGGAAUUACUGGGCGUAAAGAGCUCGUAGGUGGUUUGUCGCGUUGUUCGUGAAAUCUCACGGCUUAACUGUGAGCGUGCGGGCGAUACGGGCAGACUUGAGUACUGCAGGGGAGACUGGAAUUCCUGGUGUAGCGGUGGAAUGCGCAGAUAUCAGGAGGAACACCGGUGGCGAAGGCGGGUCUCUGGGCAGUAACUGACGCUGAGGAGCGAAAGCCAGGGGAGCAAACGGG